GAUGAACGCUGGCGGCAUGCCUAACACAUGCAAGUCGAACGGGAAGUGUCACUUCAGUGAUGCGGAGAGUGGCGGACGGGUGAGUAACACGUGGAUGACCUGCCCUGAACAGGGGGACAACUGUUGGAAACGGCAGCUAAUACCCCAUAGUCUCGGUAUGAAUAGUAUUGAGUAAAGGAGUAAUCCGGUUUGGGAGGGGUCUGCGGGCUAUCAGCUAGUUGGUGAGGUAAAGGCUUACCAAGGCUAAGACGGCUAGGGGGCGUGAGAGCGUGGCCCCCCACAAUGGGACUGAGACACGGCCCAUACUCCUACGGGAGGCAGCAGUGAGGAAUAUUGCCCAAUGGGGGAAACCCUGAGGCAGCAAUGCCGCGUGGAUGAAGAAGGCUUUCGGGUCGUAAAAUCCUUUUCUGUGUGAAGAGAGAGGACGGUAGCACAGGAAUAAGUCCCGGCUAACUACGUGCCAGCAGCCGCGGUAAAACGUAGGGGGCGAGCGUUAUCCGGAAUUACUGGGCGUAAAGCGCAUGCAGGCGGCUUGAUAAGAUAGACGUGAAAGCUCCCGGCUUAACUGGGAGAGGUCGUUUAUGACUGUCAGG
rnacentral:rRNA from 1 species